rnacentral:rRNA from 1 species
GACGAACGCUGGCGGCGUGCCUAAUACAUGCAAGUAGAACGCACAGUUUAUACCGUAGCUUGCUACACCAUAGACUGUGAGUUGCGAACGGGUUAGUAACGCGUAGGUAACCUGCCUGGUAGCGGGGGAUAACUAUUGGAAACGAUAGCUAAUACCGCAUAAUAUUCAUUAUUGCAUGAUAAUUAAUUGAAAGGUGCAAUUGCACCACUACCAGAUGGACCUGCGUUGUAUUAGCUAGUAGGUGAGGUAACGGCUCACCUAGGCGACGAUACAUAGCCGACCUGAGAGGGUGAUCGGCCACUCUGGGACUGAGACACGGCCCAGACUCCUACGGGAGGCAGCAGUAGGGAAUCUUCGGCAAUGGACGAAAGUCUGACCGGGCAACGCCGCGUGAGUGAAGAAGGUUUUCGGAUCGUAAAGCUCUGUUGUAAGAGAAGAACGGGUGUGAGAGUGGAAAGUUCACACUGUGACGGUAUCUUACCAGAAAGGGACGGCUAACUACGUG